UACAGAGGGGGCAAGCGUUAUUCGGAAUUAUUGGGCGUAAAGGGCGCGUAGGCGGCCUGGCAAGUGACGGGUGAAAGCCCUCGGCUUAACCGAGGAACUGCCUGUCAGACUGUUAGGCUUGAGACCGGGAGAGGUGAGUGGAAUUCCCAGUGUAGCGGUGAAAUGCGUAGAUAUUGGGAGGAACACCGGCGGCGAAGGCGACAUCCUGGACCGGUAUUGACGCUGAGGCGCGAAAGCCAGGGGAGCAAACGGG
rnacentral:rRNA from 1 species